rnacentral:rRNA from 1 species
GGACUUCAGGCACUCCCGGCUUCCAUGGCUUGACGGGCGGUGUGUACAAGGCCCGGGAACGUAUUCACCGGAUCAUGGCUGAUAUCCGAUUACUAGCGAUUCCAGCUUCACGGGGUCGAGUUGCAGACCCCGAUCCGAACUGUGACCGGUUUUAUAGAUUCGCUCCUUCUUGCGAAGUGGCUGCUCGCUGUACCGGCCAUUGUAGCACGUGUGUAGCCCAGGACGUAAGGGCCGUGAUGAUUUGACGUCGUCCCCACCUUCCUCGCGGUUUGCACCGGCAGUCCCGUCAGAGUCCCCAACAUUACUUGCUGGCAACUGACGGCAGGGGUUGCGCUCGUUAUAGGACUUAACCUGACACCUCCACGGCACGAGCUGACGACAACCAUGCAGCACCUUGCAAAAUGUCCGAAGAAAAGUCUAUCUCUAAACCUGUCAUUCUGCAUUUAAGCCCUGGUAAGGUUCCUCGCGUAUCAUCGAAUUAAACCACAUGCUCCACCGCUUGUGCGGGCCCCCGUCAAUUCCUUUGAGUUUCAUUCUUGCGAACGUACUCCCCAGGUGGGAUACUUAUCACUUUCGCUUGGCCGCCCACUGCUCAAGGCAGCGGACAGCUAGUAUCCAUCGUUUACGGCGUGGACUACCGGGGUAUCUAAUCCCGUUCGCUCCCCACGCUUUCGUCCAUCAGCGUCAGUACAUGGUUAGUGACCUGCCUUCGCGAUCGGUGUUCUAUGUAAUAUCUAUGCAUUUCACCGCUACACUACAUAUUCCGGCCACUCCACCAUGACUCAAGACAACCAGUAUCAAAGGCAGUGCUACGGUUGAGCCGCACCAUUUCACCUCUGACUUAAUUGCCCGCCUGCGGACCCUUUAAACCCAAUAAUUCCGGAUAACGCUCGGACCCUCCGUAUUACCGCGGCUGCUGGCACGGAGUUAGCCGGUCCUUAUUCUUACGGUACCGUCACCAGGAUACACGUAUCCCUUAUUCUUCCCGUAUAAAAGCAGUUUACAACCCAUAGGGCCGUCUUCCUGCACGCGGCAUGGCUGGAUCAGGCUUCCGCCCAUUGUCCAAUAUUCCUCACUGCUGCCUCCCGUAGGAGUCUGGUCCGUGUCUCAGUACCAGUGUGGGGGGAUCCCCCUCUCAGGGCCCCUACUUAUCGUAGCCUAGGUAAGCCGUUACCUUACCUACUAGCUAAUAAGACGCAUAGCCAUCCUUUACCGUUCGAAAACUAUAACCUAUUAGAAAUGCCUCUGAUAGGUACUACGGGGUAUUAAUCCAAAUUUCUCUGGGCUAUCCCCCUGUAAAGGGUAGGUUCUAUACGCGUUGCGCACCCGUGCGCCACUCGUCAGCGGAUUGCAAGCAAUCCC